CUGUACAUGGUAUAAUAAUUCUCAUAGUGAACAAGUGAAGAUGGUGGCUAUCCUGGAUUGGAGGUGGUGCUUAUGGUGUAAUCAGCCAACCCCCACAUUCUAGGAAAGGAGAUGCCAGAUGUCCGCCAAGGACGUCUUGACCUUACUAUUAAUGUUUGGAAUGUUUAUUCUAGCAUUGAUAGGUAUUGU
rnacentral:sRNA from 1 species